CCUCCAGAGGAAGAACGGGAGGUGGCGGCGCCUCCGUAUCGUAAAACGCGAUGAACUCUUCUCCUUGAUUUUUCCGGACGAAAGGGACUAAAUAGAGCUUAGAUUGGAGGCGGUGGAGCUUCCUGGGGCCCACAAGACUGCCAGGCGCGGCCGGGGGGGCCGCGCCUGGUGGGCUUGUGGGCUCUCAGCUCCACCCCUCCGGUUGAUUCUUGCGCCAUUAUUUUUGAUAUAUUCCACAAAAAAUCCCCAUAAAUUUCCAGGUCAUUCCGAGAACUUUUAUUUGUGCGCAAAAAUAACACCAUGGCAAUUCUGCUGAAAACAGCGUUAGUCCGGGUUAGUUCCAUUCAAAUCAUGCAAAUUAGAGUCCAAAACAAGGGCAAAAGAGUUUGGAAAAGUAGAUACGACGGAGACGUAUCAGGGGGGCGCCUAGCAGGCUUGUGGGCCCCCCGUGGCUCCUUUGCCCUACUUCUUCCGCCUAUAAAUUCUCCAAAAAUAUGAAACUGCCAGGGAGAGCCACGGAAAUACUUUUCCGCCGCCGCUAGCUUCUUUCUCUGCAAGAUCCCAUCUGGGGCACGUUCUGGUGCCCUGCCUCUCCGAUGAUGCGUGAGUAGUUCAUCACAGACCUUCGGAUCCAUAGCUAGUAGCUAGAUGGCUUCUUCUCUCUCUUGGAUCUUCAAUACAAAGUUCUCCAUGAUCUUCAUGGAGAUCUAUCCGAUGUAAUCUUCUUUUGCGGUGUGUUUGUCAAGAUCCGAUGAAUUGUGGAUUUAUGAUCAGAUUAUCAUGAAUAUUAUUUGAGUCUCCUUUGAUCUCUUACAUGCAUGAUUUCGUAUCCUUGUAAUUCUCUUCGAGUUGUGGGUUUCGUUUGGCCAACUUGAUCUAUAAUUCUUGCAAUGGGAGAAGUGCUUGGUUUUGAGUUCAUACCGUGCGGUGUCCUCACCAAGUGACAGAACGGGUAGCGAGGCACGCAUCGUAUUGUUGCCAUCAAGGGUAAAAAUAUGGGGUUUAUAUCUAUUGCAUGAAUUUAUCCCUCUACAUCAUGUCAUCUUGCUUAAGGCGUUACUCUGUUUGUCAUGAACUCAAUACACUAGAUGCAUGCUGGAUAGCGGUCGAUGUGUGGAGUAAUAGUAGUAGAUGCAGACAGUAUCGGUCUACUUGUCUCGUACGUGAUGCCCAUAUGUAUGAUCAUUGCAUUAGAUAUCAUCAUGACUUUGCGCGGUUCUAUCAAUUGCUCGACAGUAAUUCGUUCACCCACCGUAAUACUUGCUAUCAUGAGAGAAGCCUCUAGUGAACACUAUGGCCCCCGGGUCUACUUCACAUCAUAUUUUCAGCUCUACACUUUUACUUUGUUGCACUUUCCACCUUCAGGUCUCACCUUGCAAUUAAUCGUGAAGGGAUUGACGACCCCUUUAUAGCGUUGGGUGCAAGUUUGUUUGUUUUUGCGCAGGUACAUUGGUGACUUCUCUUGAUACUCCUACUGGAUUGAUACCUUGGUUCUCAAACUGAGGGAAAUACUUACUGCUACUGUGCUGCAUCACCCUUUCCUCUUCAAGGGAAAAACCAACGCAAGCUCAAGUGGUAACAAGAAGGAUUUCUGUCGCCGUUGUCGGGUAGUAUCAAGUCAAGAAUAGUCUCCCUUCAACGUGUCAAUUUCUGGCACCGGGAACUAUUCUAAG
rnacentral:lncRNA from 1 species